rnacentral:rRNA from 1 species
UGGGGAAUAUUGGACAAUGGGCGAAAGCCUGAUCCAGCCAUGCCGCGUGUGUGAAGAAGGUCUUCGGAUUGUAACGCACUUUAAGUUGGGAGGAAGGGCAUUAACCUAAUACGUUAGUGUUUUGACGUUACCGACAGAAUAAGCACCGGCUAACUCUGUGCCAGCAGCCGCGGUACUACAGAGGGUGCAAGCGUUAAUCGGAAUUACUGGGCGUAAAGCGCGCGUAGGUGGUUUGUUAAGUUGGAUGUGAAAUCCCCGGGCUCAACCUGGGAACUGCAUCCAAAACUGGCAAGCUAGAGUAUGGUAGAGUGUGGUGGAAUUUUCUGUGUAGCGGUGAAAUGCGUAGAUAUAGGAAGGAAC